AUUGAACGCUGGCGGCAUGCCUUACACAUGCAAGUCGAACGAGUGGCGAACGGGUGCGUAAUCCAUCGGAACGUGCCCUGUCGUGGGGGAUAACUAGUCGAAAGGCUAGCUAAUACCGCAUACUAUAGGAGCGGCCGAUGGCUGAUUAGCUAGUUGACGGGGUAAAGGCCUACCAAGGCGACGCUCAGUAGCUGGUCUGAGAGGAGGAUCAGCCAAACUGUGACUUAGCCACGGCCCAGACUCCUACGGGAGGCAUCAGUGGGGAAUCUUGGACAAUGGGGGCAACCCUGAGCCAGGAAUGCAGAGUGUGUGAAGACGGACUUCGGGUUGUAAAGUACCUUCGUCCGGGAAGCGGUACCGGAAGAAUAAGGACCGGCUAACUACGUGCCAGCAGCCGCGGUAAUAC
rnacentral:rRNA from 1 species